AGAUUUGGCUUCUGACACACUCAUUGCUUUGGAGAGGAUGGUUAAGUCAGAAAAAAGACUUUUGAGACUCAAAAUUCUGGACCCCGAUUCUGCUUGGAGCCAAGAUAAAGUUGUGUUUGCUCCAGGUUAUCGGCAUUGUGCCUGCACUGAAUAAAAACAAGCAGCUCCAACUUCUCAGGGCUGCUCUCUGGCCACUAGAGCCAGGCAGUCACCUAGCUGCUGUUAUGCUGCAUACCUGUCUCUGAGUACUCGCUUCAUCCAUCGGCCAGGGUCUGUGGGACAGACCAGGCAGGUGGUGCCCCAUGUGAGGAACGCUGCAAUGGAUUGCAAGGGAACCCCUGAAAACAAAUGUGAAGUGACUGAGCAGUGUUAACCUUAGAAGACUAGAACCUAAUGAGUUAUGGCAAACAGAUGUUAUGCACGUCCCUGAAUUUGGAAAACUAAGGUCCUCUUUGGAUUCCAGCACGAGGCAUCAAACCAUACCAUGGCAUGGCUAGGACCCAACCCGGUACCAAAAUGAAGAAAAUGACCCUACAGGACCCACAAUCCCGGAUGAUGUGGCUUCCUUGGAUGACACAGGCCCUGGACAUUACCUGGGGGAUGCUGAAGAAGACAACUCAGGAGGCCAAGCAAAUCCUGCUCCAGGCACAGACACCAUUCACUCCAGGAAGCUGCCAUUCAUUCGACAUAAGUAGGUGCUUCAUCUGAUAAGCGCUGCUUGUGUAAUUUAUCAAUGACAGAGAAGGCAGAUAGCAGCAUGCAUACUUGGGGCUGCAUUUGAAGGAGAGCAACAUCCCUUUGUUUUCACAGAGGAGAACAAGCAUGAGUUGAGAUUGUGGUGCUUCUUGAAGUCUCAUCCAGAUCAGAAACCUGCUGCUCUGUCCACAUUCCAUCCACCAAAGCAACCCAUAUGGCCAUGUCCAGCAUCAGAUGGGGAAAGGCAGUUCUCCUCUAGCACGAGGAGCUGCAAAGCCACAUGGCAAAGGAUGAGUGUGUAAAAAAUAAAUGCAGGAGGGCAGGAGGCAUUGGGAACAAUGAUCCAAUCUACUGCAGUGUGUUAUUCUCUCCAGCUUGGCAUGCGUUCCGUUCCCUGUGUACAGCAUCCUGCAGUGACAGGAGCUCACGCUGGUCCUUUAAUAUGGGCCAGAUACUGUGCUAAGCACAGCACAUGGUUUAUCUUGGUGUAGCCUCACAGCAACAUUGGAGCAAAGCACAGUGUAUAGCACCAUUUAUUCAUGAGAAGUUAGAGCUUCAUAGCAUUUAAAGCAAAUUCCCAGAUUGCACAGUGUUAGUCAGUGAAAAAGCUGAAAAUUGGACCCGACUAUCUUCUGACUCCAGAGUCAUACAUGUCUUUCUCUCCUAAAGUAUCCUUACCUAGGGUAAUGUACAUCCUAGAGUCUUGUGCACCUGUCUUCUUGCCCAUUUUGACAAGCAUUUUAUACAGAUACCUUCUGUACCAAACCUUGUUCCAGGUGACAGGGGCAAUAGUAAAUAUGGGAUAUAAGAUCCCUGCACACAAG
rnacentral:lncRNA from 1 species